rnacentral:tRNA from 1 species
GCCGGAGUGGUGCAACGGUGACACGGGCGACUCAAGAUCGCCUGGGCGAAAGCCCGCUGAGGGUUCGAAUCCCUUCUCCGGCA